rnacentral:rRNA from 1 species
CGCAAGCCCCCAUCCUCCCAACCCUUUGUGAACAUACCUAUUAUCGUUGCCUCGGCGGUGCCGGGCCUGGUCCCCCGCGCCCCCCUCCGGUCCUCCGGGGGGCGGGCGCCGGAGCAGCCCGCCGGAGGCCCUACAAACUCUUGUUUCCGAGUGUCUCCUCUGAGUUAUAAGCUUCUAAAUAAGUAAAAACUUUCAGCAACGGAUCUCUUGGUUCUGGCAUCGAUGAAGAACGCAGCGAAAUGCGAUAAGUAAUGUGAAUUGCAGAAUUCAGUGAAUCAUCGAAUCUUUGAACGCACAUUGCGCCCGGUAGUAUUCUACCGGGCAUGCCUGUUCGAGCGUCAUUUCAACCCUCAAGCACUGCUUGGUGUUGGGGCGCCACCGUCCCCCGCGGCGGUGGGCCCCCAAAUCCAUUGGCGAGCUCUCCAGGACCCCGAGCGCAGUAGUAUUCUCCUCGCUUUGGGCGGACUGGCGGUGCCCUGCCACCAACGGCGGCGUCGCGCAAGCGCGCCGCGAACCCACUAUCACAAGGUUGACCUCGGAUCAGGUAGGAAUACGCGC